GAGGGCAUAGCUCAGUGGUAGAGCACAUGCUUGGCAUCCUGGGUUCAAUCCCUAGUACCUCCA
rnacentral:tRNA from 1 species